rnacentral:tRNA from 2 species
GGGGAAUUGGUCUAGUGGUAUGAUAUUCCCUUAGCAUGGGAGGGGUCGCGAGUUCAAUUCUUGCAUUCUCCA